UGCUCUCAUUCAUACAGUUCUUCAGCAAGCAGGAGCUUAUCAGUCAUUCAGCAAAGUGAUGGUGAUAACGUCAGGGCAGGAAAAGAGUCCACAAUUCCACACUAUCUUUGAGGACAUCACACGGGAAAGCAAACUGUGAUAACUUGGCAAUAAGUAUUCACUGAGACCUAAGAAGAUUGAGCUAUUUUUUGGAUUAGGGAGAGAACUCGGAAUGAUUCAAACUCAUAUCCUGCCACUGCAUUAGAAAAUUGUGGGGGCAAGGGGUACAUUUUAGGCUCUCUUGUCCAGAGAUUUGUGUUCAGUAAUUCAGUAGAUUUCAGGGUGGGGUUAAGGCUCUUAGUAGGUUUGGGGAUGGACGGCCUGGCUUCACUCUUGUGAGUGGCCUUUGAGCUCUCAUUCAGGAAGAUUAAAUGAGCAACUCGUGCCUGAGGAUCUUCCCAUAGGACAAGGUGCUGAAAGUUGUAAUGCAUACGAAACACACUUCACCGCUGAGGAUACAAGCAAUUCUUGUACAAAAGUAUCCAGGAUUUAAACGUGAGUUCCUAGAAGCCCACUGGCAGAAGGUGAUAUGAUUUGGUGGUGUAAAGAAGUGAAAGACUGGUGGGGAAGACCAUGAAGGCUGGAACAGAGCUGAACAGAGAAGGGGCUUCUGGGCAAGAGUCAGUGAGGAGAAAAAGAGCCUGGAAUGGUAAUGUCACAGUCAGAGUGCUUGUGACAGCA